GGGCCCGUAGCUCAGUCUGGUUAGAGCCCCCGGCUCAUAACCGGGUAUGCGGUGGUUCAAAUCCGCCCGGGCCCA
rnacentral:tRNA from 2 species